rnacentral:rRNA from 1 species
GACGAACCGAGCGAACGUUGUUCGGAAUCACUGGGCUUAAAGGGCGCGUAGGCGGGCUGCCAAGUUUGGGGUGAAAUCCUCCGGCUCAACCGGGGAAGGGCCUCGAAUACUGGCGGCCUCGAGGGGGGGGGUGAGGGCGUGCGGAACUGUGGGUGGAGCGGUGAAAUGCGUUGAUAUCCACAGGAACUCCGGUGGCGAAGGCGGCACGCUGGACCCUCACUGACGCUGAGGCGCGAAAGCCAGGGGAGCGGAACGGG